rnacentral:rRNA from 1 species
UACGGAGGGUGCAAGCGUUUAUCCGGAUUUACUGGGUUUAAAGGGUGCGUAGGUGGGUCUGUAAGUCAGUGGUGAAAUCUCCGAGCUUAACUCGGAAACUGCCAUUGAUACUAUAGGUCUUGAAUUAUCUGGAGGUAAGCGGAAUAUGUCAUGUAGCGGUGAAAUGCUUAGAUAUGACAUAGAACACCAAUUGCGAAGGCAGCUUACUACGGAUUGAUUGACACUGAGGCACGAAAAGCGUGGGGAUCAAACAGG